rnacentral:rRNA from 1 species
ACGGCAGCACGGGGCAACCUGGUGGCGAGUGGCGAACGGGUGAGUAAUAUAUCGGAACGUACCCUGGAGUGGGGGAUAACGUAGCGAAAGUUACGCUAAUACCGCAUACGAUCUAAGGAUGAAAGUGGGGGAUCGCAAGACCUCAUGCUCCUGGAGCGGCCGAUAUCUGAUUAGCUAGUUGGUAGGGUAAAAGCCUACCAAGGCUUCGAUCAGUAGCUGGUCUGAGAGGACGACCAGCCACACUGGAACUGAGACACGGUCCAGACUCCUACGGGAGGCAGCAGUGGGGAAUUUUGGACAAUGGGCGCAAGCCUGAUCCAGCAAUGCCGCGUGAGUGAAGAAGGCCUUCGGGUUGUAAAGCUCUUUUGUCAGGGAAGAAACGGUGAAGGCUAAUACCUUUUGCUAAUGACGGUACCUGAAGAAUAAGCACCGGCUAACUACGUGCCAGCAGCCGCGGUAAUACGUAGGGUGCAAGCGUUAAUCGGAAUUACUGGGCGUAAAGCGUGCGCAGGCGGUUUUGUAAGUUUGUCGUGAAAGCCCCGGGCUCAACCUGGGAAUUGCGAUGAAGACUGCAAGGCUUGAAUCUGGCAGAGGGGGGUAGAAUUCCACGUGUAGCAGUGAAAUGCGUAGAGAUGUGGAGGAACACCGAUG